rnacentral:lncRNA from 1 species
CUUGAUUCCAUUGGCCAGUAAUUUAGACAAUAAGCUACAUUACUUCCUCAUGCUCGAACAAUUCCCAAGAACUAUUUUAGAGUCCCUGAAACUUGUCACAGAAGGAAUUUGCUCCAUGAGCCAAAUUUACACUGUAUAAUGAAGUGGUAAGUUGCCCUGCCAUUUCCGUAUUUAUUUUAUGAAGAGGUCAGUGGCAAAAAUGAUCAAUGUCAAGAGUCUCCACUCAAAGCAUAUCUGAUGUUACUUAAGGCUGGCUCUGGGUGACAAUAUCACACUUUUCUGGCCUAGGUGGAGGAUUUAGUAAGAUCAGUUAAUUAAUGGCUUUCAUUUUACAAAUCUUUUCUAUAACUAUUACUCAUUCUUUAGUAGACGCUUAUGGAACACCUUCUCCAGGCUUCCUCUAAGUUAGGCAACAGUGUUACAAAGAUGAGUAAGGUGAAGAUAGUAGUCUUAAUAUGCUCACACACUCGUUUGAUCCUGAAAACAACCUGUAAGAUAUGCAGGGCAGAUAUUGUCAUUCCCAUUUUAAAGAGGGAAAAAUGGAAUCUCAGAGAAGUUAAGUGACUUGUUUAGGGCCACACAUCCAGUAAGUGGUAGAACAGUACUUGAAUGCCAGGCUUUACUUCAGUCUAGUUAUCGUUCCAUCAUGUUAACAUAUAUUGAAAACCUGUUGUUUGCCAUAGAACAUGUAUCUUCUCCUCAGCCAACCCUUAUCAUAGACUUUUACUUUAACUUGGCUGCUCAGGAUUUGUAGCCACUUUUUGUGUUUGGAGAAUGCACUGUGAAAUGAGCUUUUAUGGGAGAUGGGUCUCCACUUCUUACUAUGAAAGCCAAAAGGCCCAAACUCUCCCUUUGCGCAUCCCCUGGCAGUUGGGACUCAGGAACGUCAACUAAGCUCAGCCAAUAAGAUAUGUGUCCCUGGAGGUGAGACACCAAAGAACAAAAGAGUGGGGUCAGCCUAGAACUCGUGCUGUGAAGAUGGUGCGUUGGGUGUCCAGCAGUGGCAGAUCCUCAGCCGGGCUGGAUCUUUGGCUGUGAUUCCUUAUGCCUAAUCUUCACUGAUUUUAGACUAUUUUCUGCACUUGGCUUUCAUCCCUUUUAGUCUAUUCUGUGAGCCAUCUAAUUUGCUUUCAAUAAAUUUGUCUGCAAAGUCAGCUUAAGUCAGUUUCUGUUGCUUUCAACCAAGAACUUUGACUAGAAGAGAUCCAUUUUAUAGAUGAAGUAGUGAGUAUUGAUCAGAUUUUGGACAUAUUUUGAAGAGAAAGCUGGCAGAAUUUUUGAAGGAUUGGAUAAGGAGUGUGAGAAAAAGAAGUCAAGGAUGACUUCAGAAUUUUUGGUCUGAAUAACUGAAAGUAAAGCUGCUAUCCGUUCCAGUUCUGUGUUACUACAAACCACUCUCAAAAUAGUGGACUAAGACAACAACCAUUUUUAUUAUCUCCAUUGGCUUUGGCUUUUCACAGCAUAAUGGCUGGGUUUUGAGAAGGUGUGCUCCCUGAGGGCAAACAUUCCAAGAGAACCUCUAAGAAGCUGCAUAGCCUUUUAUGACCCUCAGAACUCACACAGUGUCACUUCCACCGUAUUCUAUGGAUAGAAUUAUUCACAGGCUCAUCCAGACUCAAAGAGGAGGGGACAUUGGAGCCAUGUUUUAAAAUUGUCAUGCUAUUUAUCAGGGAACUCGAAGAAAAGUGGGGAAGAUGGGGAGAGGAACAAGUUGAGAGGGGGAGGUUAUGUGUUUGGACAUCUUAAGUAUAGAUGUCUGUUAGGCGUUCAAGAGGAUAUAUUGGUUCAACUGUGGAAGACCUUGUGAAAAAAGAGGUGCCCCACGGAAGACGCACAUAAAGUCCGACCCCGAGACCUCGGCGCUAAUGCUUACGUCAUGUUGCGGCAGCAUCGGGCAACAACUGAGGGAGUGGAACCAGCAAGGAUGUUUUCAGGGACUGCACAAAAGCCGAUAUGAGACAUGGCCGCUGUGAUUUAUGGGAAUCAGUGUCCCAACUUAGUCAAGUAGAGUGAGUCUUACAAGUCUUUCAGUGUGAUAUCAAUGUAGAUCAUUAAUGGGAAGAAACAUUUUAUAAUAGGAUUGAAUUUAAUGAAUUCUGCGGUAUGUUUCCUCUGUGCGAUGGAGACCUGUCAUUCAAACUCCAAAUGCAACUCAGUGUCUUAGAAAUGAUACUGCCAAGGAGAUAGGACUAGAUGCUGCAGGAACUUUACAGAGAGAACUCGAAGAGGAGCCACAGGUAAGUCUGAGCAAUGGUGCAAUUAACAAACACCUACUGAGUACACCCUGAGAAGGAGUCAGAGUAAAGGACACAAAGCAGUGUGGGACAUGGUGCUCACCCUCAAGGAGCUAACAUUAGUUGGUUACAAGGUACAAAGCAAGAUGAGCUAAAGGCCAAAGUCGCAGCAAAUGCAAGGACUGCCGUCAAUGGUGGGGUUUUUAGGGCAGAGUGGAAGGAGAAGAAUCCUAUGUCAGGAGGAGGAAUUAGGGGCCAGGCAUGCAAGCUUAUUUGAGGGAGGUAGGAUCUGUAGCUGGAUACCAAGACGUUAAAUUAGGGCAAUUUCCAUAUGCACACCAGCUUUUGGCAAUAUCUGUUUUUGAAAGUUUAACAUCUAAGGUAUUAAUCUGAACAAGGUUGGUUAUGUUUUGGUAAUAAGUUAACCCCCAAAUCUCAGUGGUUUAACACCAGAGUUGAUUUGGCUCACUCAAACACUGCUGGGAAUGCAAAAUCAUGAAUAGGUUUCUGAAGAUGCCAUUUUCUAGGAGGCUGUCAGCAAUCUGUUCACGCCAGCUUCUUCCCUCUCUUUCCAUAGCCACUGUCUCCCUCCCAGAGGGACUUAGUCUCUUUUUAUUCAUUGCUACAUUACUGCCUAUUUUAUCUUUUGAGCUUCUUCUGUGUGUCCCCAAACUGGCAGCAGAGGAGGCUAGACUCCUAUUUCCAAGAUCUUGAGGUUAGUCUGAUAAUUGUCUGACUGCUUUUCUGAUAUGACCUGGGUCUUGGGGGGCUGUGGGCUUGCUCAAUCAUGUCCCAACGCUCUUGCUUGGGGGGGCAGCAUCACAAGCCUGAGAUUACGGCUUGUACAUCUGAAGGGUAAUCCCUGGUUACAAAGCAAGGUGAACUCUGGAGUUGGAGUUACUGAGUCCACGUAGGGGCACAUGAGAAGAGGACAGCAAGUGGAAGCUGAGUGGGAGGGGGACUCUGGGGAGUUAGUAUGUGAGGAAGGUCAGUGCAGUCAGAAGGAAAGCAAAUGAGGAGGAUGUCCCUGAAGCAAAAUGCUGGGACCAUUUAAAGGGGCUGCCAGAGAGUUAACUAUGCCCACAACAGUGAAACAGUCCAGGCAUUCAGCAAAAGGAACAUAGGGAAUUACAGAGGUUAAAAAGAAUGACAAAGUUCUCUGGUCCCUUGUCACUCAUCGGUGGCUCAUGAUUCUCUUCUUUAGAUAGUAUCCGGAUCAACCCAACCCUCUUCCUUUUAUUCCAGACUCACUGAACUUACCUCUUCUAUCAUCCCUUCUCCCUGCUGUAGCAUUUGCUAGAUCCAGCCCAUGGAAAAUCCCCUGUCUUAGUUAGGGCUGGAUCAAAGAGUGCAAGUGUGCAGGCCAUGUAGUAUCUCUCACCAGAGGAUCAUUUCUUGGUCUAGGACAUCCAGGUGGGAGGACAUCUCCCAUCUGGAAACCCUCAGCUACCUAUAGGAAAGACCAUUUGGGCCAUUUCCUCUUACAAGCCUUCCCAGUCCAUGUAAUGUUGUCUCCCAAGAAUGAAGUCUUCAAGUAGUUAUUCUGCUCUUGACAUAGUUAAAGGCAGAAAACUUUCUCGUAUAUGUUCCAUUUUGAAAGAUGUAAUGCUUCCAACAGGACAAAACAAAUCUAUGUGGUUAUUUCAGUUUCUGAUUUUCUACUUAACUCUGACUUUUCUCUCUUGUAAGUCACUCAAUCAUCCUCCUUUACUGUCUUCUACACUUCGUUAAAGAUAAUUUCAUGUGUCCCAUUUCUGAGAAAAAUAUCACCAACUGAAUUUCCACCUGAGUUCCCGGCAGGCUUUAUUUACUGAUUAGGUCACAAAGGUUUCUGGAAGCUAAAUCAGACAUAUUAGUGUUUGUGACUAAAGUUGUUUAAGAUCUAUAUCUAUAUAUGUGUGAUAUCUGCUGCAAGAUGAGAAUGAGUUUUAAAUUGAUCUGUAAGUGUUGAACAACUGUGUCCACUGAAACAUUUUAGACAUUUCUUCUGAACUUAUCACUUCAUGUCAUAGGUUGGUCAACUUUCAUAUUUCCUCCAUACCCACUUUUUCCUUUCAAUGUGGUGCAUGAACCCCAGCCAGAACACUCACUUACACAAGAUCAAUAUCCCUGGCACUGAGCAUCUCCUUGGUGUGUGAAUUGAGUCCUUGUAUACUAGGAAUGUCUUUAGAAUUUGUUGAUUUUGGAGUUGAUGUUUGAUUUGUUUCUGAAUCUGUUGUUAGAGCUCAUCCAUUCACUGUCUGUAGAUGCCAGAGAGCUUUAGAAAAUGUAAUUUGAGGACGUAACUUUCAUCACCCAAUAAUGCUGUCGGGCUUUUACAGUAUGGUACCUUUGAGGAGGAAUAAUAGCACCUGGAGCACAUCUGAGUCUGUAUCACUGAAUUGUGUUCCAUAGGUUCUUCUUUGUGGGUCCUUGAAUUACUUGGUGGAUGGGGUAAUAUUGUAAACAGAUGUAGUGGGUUGGAUUGUGGCCCCCAAAAGAUAUGUCCACCUGGAAUGUGACCUUAUUUGUAAUAAGGGUCUUGCAGAUGUAAUUGAGGUAGGGCUCUUGAGAAGAAAUCAUCUUGGAUUAGAGUGGGCCCCAAAUCCGAUGGCAAGGCCUUACAAGAGAAGAGAAGGGGAAACAGAUACAGACACAUAGAGAAGGCCAUGUGAGGAAGGAAGCAAAUUAGAGUUAUGUAGCUAUAAGCCAAGGAAUGCCAAGGGUUGCCAGCAACCACCAGAAGCAGGAGAGGGACAUCGAAUGAUUCUCCCUCAGAACUUCCAGAGGAAAUCAAACUUGCUGAUACCUUGAUUUCAGACUUCUGGCCUCCAGAACUGUGAGGGAAUAAAUUUCUGUUGCUUUAAGCCGCCAAGUUUGUGGUAAUUUAUUAUGACAGCCCUAGGAAACUAAUACAAUGAAGGUUGUCAAAGGAAAUAUUUUACAUACAAUAAGGAGCGUGUUACUUAAAGCAAGGGUUGGCAAACCAUAGCCUUGGGCCAAAUCUGGCUGCUGCCUAUUUUUGUAAAUAAAGUUUUAUUGGAACACAGCCGUACUCAUCCAUUUAUGUAUCAUCUCUGGCUGCUUUUGUGCUACAGUGGCAGAGCUGAGUAGUUGUGACAGAGACUGUAAGACCCACAGUGAAGAAUGUAUUUACUAAAAUGUAUUUUUUUGUGCAAAUACAGAUUUACUUAAGAGAGGAACAAUGAUGGGGAAUAGGGGAUUCUGCAGGAUUUCUUUGGCCACCCUUAACGUAUCCGCCUUGAAAAUCUGUAUGUUUAUACUUUGAAUCUGCUUAAAGUCACAUCUCUCCUAUAGAAGCGGAGAUAUUGAUUAAAAGAAGUCUAACAAAAACAACUGAUCUAUAGGAUUUGUGUAGCCUCAAGGUAGACUGUUUAGUUCAACCUCCUCAUUUUGACUUCCUGGACUUAAUGUGAAUUGGAGGCAUUAUUAAGUUGGGAGGAUUGAGUAGGCAAUAAACAUACUCUCAGAAUAAGGAAAAGAGCUAUCUAUCAUUGUACUGAAGGUCCAUCGCUCCCAGAUGGUCCCGGUGCUGUGCUUCUUAUUUGAUUAGCAAUGAGGAUACGAUUAGUUGGGCUUUCUCUCUUGAUGUGUGAAGUCCUCCCAGCUCCUACACAAGAGAUAUGGUAGCUGAAUUUAAGUAGCACACACAACAGCUUAUUUAUUUACCUUAGUAUAGUAUAUAAAAAGGCAUUAUUUCUCUAUUGAGGAAGUCAUCCUCAAUGAUGAUGCAUGCUUUUCUCCUAACUUUUUUGCCUUUUAAAGUUUUCUAGGGAAAUAAAGAUUUAGAAAUUUGGUCAUCGAACUUCUACUUGAAUAUUUCGACUGGCUUUGAAAAAGACUCCUCUUCCAAAAAUUUUUCAUACCUCUUGAAAAUCCGCUUCAAGGGAUUUAUACAGGGAAAUAAUCAUGCAUGUUCAAACCUUCAGUUACAAAGAUGUUCAUCAAAACACUAUUUACAGCAAUGAAAAAUGUCAAAGAAUUUAAACCUAAAUUUGAAGCAACAAUGGAGAAUUGGUUAAAUAAUUUACAGUGCUUCCAUACUGUGAGCUUAUCAAAGAAUAUUUGAUGACAUGGAAAGAUGCUCUUAAUAUAUUUUUAAGUGAGGAAAAAGCAGAAAACCCCACCUUAUGCAUAGUGUAGAAUAAGCAGCACACUCUCAGAAAAACAGGUGAAAGUUUUAGGUGAUUUUUUAUAUUUUUUUCUUAUCUCUAUUUUCUAUUAUGUUUUCAAAGAAUAUUUUUGUAAUAAUAAGAAAAAAACAGUUAAAAUGAGCAGACUGCCCUUUCAAAUAUUUUCAUUUAGAAUUGAGGAUUGUUAGUUGAUAUGAAAAUAACUUUUUCUUUUGCUUCCUAGAGAAAUUAAUAAAGUACUUAAAUUGCUGCUCGCCAGGAGAGUAGAUUUAGACAAGUCACUUUCUUUCCCGAGCCUUGGUUUCUUCAUCCGGAAACAAGAGCAUUGAAUUCAUUGAGUCUCUAAGUUCCUAGUCACCCAUGAUAUUCUGAGUUUUCUGGGCUAGUGUUCGGAGCAGCCUAUUCGGCGAGCUAACUCACUCACCAAGAACAGCGCACUCAAAGGAGGAUGCCUUAGUUGUGGAGGCUGGUUCCAGGCACCCCCCAGCCUUUGCACCCUGUGGAAGGCCCGCUGGCGAGGGAACCCCACACCUGGGGGCCUUGGGUCAAGUUGGCUCUUUUAUGAAUGGGGUUUCUUUAAUCCUCUUCGUCUUGAUCAAGCUGUGACAAUGCAUUUUCUUAGGGAAAAUAUUCUACUUUUAAAUUUAAUUUGUACUAAUUUGCCCCAGGCAGAGAGCCUGCAAUAAACUUGGUGUCAAUUUCACGUUUGGCCAAAGUUUGUGAAGUGUUUUGCUUUGUUUUAGAACAAUUUACCAUUCGUCUGUGGGAGUGGUGGGGAGAAUCAACAGCCUGGCAAGUAGUUUUCACAAAAUGUAAGUCCUGAGUAUUAUAUCUGGCCUCUAUCAAUUUUAUUGUCUUGACUCAAGUUUAAUGGGGCCACCCUUUUCUCUCUCUGCUUCUCUCUUUCUCUUUGUCCCUCACCUGCAUCCCAACAUCCCCUGGACCUGCCAGGGAUCAAAGACAUCCCCUUGUCACAUGUUGAACUGUUUCCCCAAUAAGGUUUUCAAGCUCCUUAAGGAUAGGCAUUGUGAUUUUGCUCAUUUUGUAUCCUGUUCAUAUCCUGUCCAGUGUUACAUAAAGUGACGAAUAAGGGCUUUCAAUUUGAAUUAAAGAGCAUUGCAUCAACCCCUCUCAGAUGCAACCCUGUUUACUGAAGGCAGGGUCUUUCCAAUCAUGUUGUACUUUUUACCAUCACAAGUUCUUCUUUUGCUUGAAAUUAUAAUCAGACAGGCACAAGACAGGAUGUGCUUUGGUGCAUUAAUUUGCUGGGACAUUCUUGAUGUAGGAGCAUGGGUAUUGAGAAAAACAAUUCCUAGGACUGUUCAUUCAUUCAUUCAUUCAACAAAUACUUAUUAUUAUUCAUGGCACUGUCUGAGGCAGCACAGUCAGAGCAGAGUGAGACCUUUUGAUGUCUAUGGUGUAGGCAUAAAGAUGGGGAGGGAGAUAAAAAAAGAGAGAGGUGAUACAUAGACUUUAUGGUACAUCUUUCCAUCCAUUUAUCCAUCCAGCCAACAAAUAUUAAUUGAUAGCCUACUAAAUUCCCAGCAUUGUUAUAGCCAUUGGGGGCAUAGUGUGAUUAAGACAUGCAAAGUUACCUGCUUUCUAGAAGGUAGAGCUUAUAAUAUAGUGGUAGACACAGAUAAACAAUGAGGAAAUAAAUAAAUACUAUAAUUUCAAAUGAGGAAAGAAAAUACUAUGAAGAAAAAUAACAUAGGAUAAGGGGAUGGAGGCUGAUGGGGACAUCAGGAAAGGCUCUAUGAGGAGGUGGCAUAAAGAGAGAACUGGAAUGGGGUGAAGAUGCAAGGGGAAGAGCACUGGACUGAGAGUCAGGCCAUGUUCUCAUUUUAACUCUGCCACUAACUGUGCAACAUGGACCAAGUCCCCCAGCAUCCCUCCGUCACCUGAUUAUUGAUGAAAUAAAAUGAUGUAUGUGACUGUAACAUUCAAGAAUAAUGUAUUAUUAUUAAUAAUGUUACAACCUGUUGCAUGAUUUGCAUUUAAAGGACCUAUUGAAGAAUUGUGCAUGGAGGAAUUUCAGUAUUUGCUGCUAGCUCAUGUAGACAGCCAAGCCCAACCUUUCUGGAGUCCUACAAAUCUCCAAGGAGAAACACACAGAAAACACAGAGAAUGAUAAAAAGGAGGAUGCAUUUAGUCUCUUCAUUGAAUGGAGUGUGUUAGUGUGGGUAUGUGGGAUCCUCUGAAUGAGACACAGACAACUGACAGUGUUUUCCAAUGCACAAUAAAACAGUUUAUUUAAAAAGAACGCAUUCAGUACCGUGUUUGGCACACGAGGCAAUGAGGCAGGCACAUUCACACUUAACAGGUACAUUUGGGGAGCUGUCGAAGCAAAUCAUUGCAUUGUCUUCACAAACUAUAGUCACAAUAUACACGAGAUUACCUCUACAAAAGAAAGAUGGUCAUCCUUGUUCACCAAGAAGGCAGAAGAUAUUUACAUGUUCCUCAGUUCAGCAAUGCUGGCUUCUUUCAGGUCUCCAUGGCCCUGUCAGUCUGGCAGCUUGUUUUCAAGGGCAGCUGAGGCUGCCUCUCACAAGGGAUGUGAGUCUAAUUCCUAAGGGCCGUAGCCUCUUCCAAAGAGCGAGAGUGCUUCUGAUGGAGUUGCGGAGGAGUGAAGUCUUCAGUGCCAGUCUCUCAGCAUAAAAUGGCAUUUUCCAAAACAAAUGCAUCAAGCGUGUGGGGGGAGGGCUCCAUGACUAUAAGAACAUAAGAAGCAUUUAUUUUCCCUGACACAUGCUUCUUGCCAUUUCUUCAAUAAUUUACAUUCACUGUUCUCUCGCCUUUUGACCUAUUGGUUUCAUCACUACUCUAUAGAAAGCUUUGUUCCUCACUCUACAUUGACAUACCAUUCUUUAAAAUGAUGCUAAAAUAAAAUGGUGAAACCAAGUAAGUUAAGUGAGAGAAGAUAUCACAAAAUUCUUUUGUCUUGACUUCUGAUUUAUGCCUUCACAAUGGAUUGUCAACUUCCCAUGUAAAGAAUGGAGGCAGUAUGGUGCGGUGUAGUAGAAUCAGUGGCUCGGAGACCCAGACUCAAUUCCAGUUAACUAGCUGGGCAGAUAAGUCACUUCCUCCUUUCUGAACCUCAGUGUCUCAUCUCCACACUGAGGAUCUUGAUCUGGAAUCUAGACCUGAGAUAAUGUCUAGAUCUGUGAAGUUCUGCUAUGGACUUAGGUGACUGUCCUAUGUGAGUAAACAAUGCCACAUUGUGAUAUUUCAGUAUUUUUGUUCUAUGUCCUGGGAGAAUUUCAGUGUUAAUUGAUGAUGCUUGGUGACUGGAUCUCAACCCAUCAAUAAACCCCUCCCAGAGCUCUGGUCUGUAAGGCUACUUUUCUGCAUAGUAAGAGCUCAGAUCUGGAUCUUGAAAUGUGGUUAAAGAGCAUUUCUGACAUGGAGACAAAUUAUUCCAAGUCUUGAAAAAUGGUCUAGAUUCCAGAUUUCAGUGGGAAACCUCCCCUUCCCUUUUGCAAGUACUUCAUUGACUUCAUUCCACCUUCACACAUUGACCGAUCCUUUCUCCCAUUAUCUACCAAUUUUUUCCCUACCUCCCUAGCUAAAAAUGUUGUAGGAGUGGCUGGUUCCCCAAGGCUGGUUUUGCUGUGAAUUUGUUCAUAAUAAGAUGGGGCCUACUGUCAAGUCCCUUCUGCUUGUAGCUAUGGACUUCUCUCUUUGGUGUCCAGCAAAGAGCCAGAGGAUGAAGGCCUAUUUUGUGCCCAGGCUACAUGCAAUUUGUUGUGAAUACAGGAAAACAUCUGAACGUGUAUCUGACUCAUUUAAAACAAUAUGUAGCUUAUUCAGUAUAGAGAAACAAGCUCAUUUCGAUGACUGUUAAGAAGAACACAAAAGAGAGGUGGUAUACCCUGGCCUUUUAAACACCAUACACAGAAAAUGUCCAAGUUGAGUUUCAAACAUUUACAGUCUCGAAAUGCCUUACAGAACCUGUAGGAUAUUUUACCACAGCAGAGAAAGUAGAUUUGGUCCUUCAUGAUCUAAUUUUGAUUUACUGCUCACUGAAUGAGAACCUAUGGCCACUUAUUGUAUCUGAAGAAUUAAGUGCAUUUUUUCCCAGCAUUGCCUUCCAAAGGAUUUAAUUAAGCCCACCUAAGAAUGACUUCCAUCAGAAAAACCUUUAAUUUACCAACAAAGCUUGUUCUGUGGCUCACCAGGGUAUCCGAUUUCUAAACAGUAGUGAACAGCUGGUGGUGAGGAAGAAAGAAAGUUGCCCUACUGCUCACUGCCCAGGGGACUGCGGUGGCCAAAUGUUUGUGGGUAGGUUUUUUUUCAGAGUCCAGCCUUACACUAGCUUCGCUAAGGGCAAGGCAUCACAUGAUGCCUUCCUCGACAAAGUUUGCCUGGUAGUGUUCUUAUCUAGUGGUGUUUCUUCCCAUUAGGAACUUCUCUGAGGGCAAGUAAAGCCCAGCUAAGUACCUACUCAAACCCUGGGCAUGAGGCUUAGCUGGGUAGAGACGUUUGAACUAUGGAGCUUCCCCAGGUGCGGUGGGGCCAGGUAAGCUUAUUGGAUGUCUUUCUCUUCCCCUGCUCCUUUAUGGGCACUGAUUUCUGGAUGCCUGUGAAUUUUGUGCUGUCAAAAGGCCGAGGAGCAAGUGGACAGGGAAAAUUAGAGAACUGGGGAAACAGGCAAUGGACUAUAGGAUAUGAAAAAAGAUCAGCCAACAUGGUUUCAACUGGCAGUUUAAUUGAAGAAUUUUGACCUAGAAGGUCACCCUUAGAAAUUAGACAAGCCAUGGCUAGUAAUCUCCUAAGGUACUGAGGAGUCUGUUGAGAGGUUCCUAAAAGUCACAUGGCUAGGAAAUAUUUUGAACACCUUAGGGUCCUUAGCCUCAAGGACCCAGUAACAUACUAAAAAUCAGUAGAACUAACUAAAGUAUAAAUGCCUCCUUGGGAGGAGGGGGCACUUGGGAGUCCCUCCAAAGCUGCUGCUCGCCUCUUCUAUUUGGUACUCACUGAUUCAGAAAUUGUUCAGGCAGUGCUGUGCUGGAGCCAGCUCAUACUGGCUCUUGAAAACAUUUUGUUACAUUUUCAGCUGGUUGACAUCAAGUUAGUAGCUUUAAAUUGGCUACAAUGAGAGUACACCGUGGAAAUUGGCAAGGGCUACAAAUCGGGGCUCCACUCUUCUCCAGAGCCAGUUGUUAAACAUUUAGCAGCACACAAAAGAGCUAAAAUUGUCUCUGAAUCCCAGAGAAGGGAAAUCAAAGGAGCCCUUUAGUAUCUCUGAUGAUGAAAGACAUGAGCACAGCUAUAGAAAGCAGCCUGGCCAAAACUUCAUUAGAAUGGUGGCAUCUUAUUCAACAGAGGCUGGCACAAGGCAGCCAGUGCCAACUGACCACCUCUCUCAUACUCACUUGGUCUUGGAAUUUUAGUUUCUUGAAUUUGCUUUUUUGAUCGGUUUCAUUUUAACCUGAGGACCUUUGCAUUUGGGGCAUUACUUGGAGGUUGAGAAAUAAGACCCCUUUAGGAAUAUUUUAGGCUCUGG